rnacentral:rRNA from 1 species
GAAACCCAAAAGAUCGAAUGGGGAGAUUCAUCGUCAACGCAUUUGGUAUAUGUGCGAGUUGCGAUACGAAUUAUCCUUGUGAUAAUGCUUGUACGUGCUUGUUCAUUUUAUUGCUAGAUGUUGUCGGCGUGCACUUCUCCCCUAGUAGGACGUCGCGACCCGUUGGGUGUCGUUCUACGGCCCGGAUGGUAGUCUUUGAUUUUUCUAAAUUAAAGACCACCGGUGACCUGAUCGGCUGCCCGGCGGUAUUCGCACGGUAAUGAGCCGCAUUUUAUUUUGCGUCAAGCCCGUCGCAAGCGCGGUUAGUAUUCUGGUAGUGCGGACUCAAUGCCGUCACUGGGGCUGACCAGCUGUUGGUUGUACGGUGUUCUUUGACUGGCUCAAAUAUUAAUUACCGGUCGGCGACGCUACUGCUUUGGGUACUUUCAGGACCCGUCUUGAAACACGGACCAAA